CCAGUGAUCAUCUGAGCAGGAGGUGCUGCUGCACCACCAGGGCCCUUUACGAGCUGACAUCCCUAAUACACGCAAUUACACCAUUUAUCAAACCUCCUUCAGACGUUCCAAUCAACACAGCCACUCGCCAAAAGCCGAAGGGUCGCGGCAACUCGGAGUCUACCCCGAACGUGUGAAGGCUGGACUACAGCUUGGAUUGGGCUCCGCCGCUGGACACACGUACGGAAACACACGUCUUUGGAAGGCGGACGUCAGAAACGCACUCAAACGCGUGGAGACCAUGCAAACUCCCCACAGACAGGAGCUCCGCUCCACAAUCAAAGCCAGUGCCCAAGAACUAUGAAAGAGCUCCGGGACCGUGGACAGCUCGUUGUAAGAAGCCGAUAUCAACUCCAAAUACUUUCACUAAGAGGUGUACAAUCGCUGCUUGGUCGCCUAUGCCUGAAGCGGAUUUCCUCUUGAUCAAAACCACGCUGUUCUCUGGGGGCGGCUCGUAUCAGCAUCUCGCAAAUGAUCAGGUUUUGCUGCCUUCUUGCUUGACUUGCGACAUAACAGAAGCGAACAUCUUGCUUUUUUCGGUUUUCUGUUUUUCUCUCGCUAGUGGACAUUUCUUCAGCUCUAAGAGUUUACGCAAAAUGACAACAUUUCCCUUAGAUCCACGCGAGUGGAAAAACACGUUUGUUGCAAGCUAGAAAGUGUAAAGGUAACUGGAUGAACACCCCUAGUUAACUAGUUAUUUAGCUUCGGGUUUGGGUUUAGGACACAAUGGGUACACAGUGAAUGACUCUUACAGAAGCCAAGUUUUUAUUCUGUGCCUCUAGAGGAAAUCUGCGUUGCUGUGUGAAUUAUUGGAUUCGUUUCACACAGAUCUACACGACAAACAGGCUAUUUCGCGGUUGUAUACUCCGUUUUCGCGCGGGCUCACGACCUCUUAUGACCUGUGAGCUCCGUGUUAGCAAAACAAAUACCGCAUAGAAGAAAGAAAAAGUCCAAAAUGUGUCUUAAAAAUAGGAUUACUCUGGACGAAUUGAUACUUUUGCAUUCUUUAUUUUUUACUAGAUCUACUACAAUUACAACUACCAGAACAGUCGUGAUAGUAGCUUGCCUGGCUAGGACAGUCAUCCAUAGUAAUUGUAAGUUUUGGAAUGCCUUUCUCAGCACCUGAAUUGCAGGAGCAGGAGGAUAUGAUGAAUCAUGCAGUCAAGAAAAGUGACUUGUGUAAGAUGGCUGAAGAAUCUUGAAGAACCAAGCUAAAACAGAGAGCUUUGCCAUUUUUAAACGCAGGCGUCUAAGCACAGAGCUGGAAGAUUGUGCAAGCAGCUGAGGUCUUUCAUGGAGCUGAAGAAUCACAAUCAACACUUUUGUCUCCAGAGGUUCUGAUACACAGGUUUUACAUCAGGAAGAAGAUGAUACCUUGGAGUUUGCUGUUGAUGAUCUCAUUCGUAUGAUGAAAGACAUAGGGACCUCAUGUAAUGCUAAUGAUAAACAUUAAAGCAAAGAAGAAAGAUCUCUUCACUUAAAAAAGUGUAUCAAAAUGCUACGUUUGCUGAUUUGAAAAUGUCUUUUUUGUUUGUUGUUUAGUUUCAAGAAGAGUGCAUUCAGUGGCUGGAGGAAGAAUAUAAUCCCAUAUUAAAUUUUUAACACUUAAUGGUUCCAUUAUUUUAAAAAUGAGACAUUUUGACUUUGUAAAUAUGAACUAGUUUGUACAGGAAUGGAUUGAAAACAGGCCAACGAUUUGAAAAUUGUGUACCAAAGGUCAAAUAUAAGAAAUGAAUCAUAAUAAAUUAGGAACAACAGUCUCUGCCAUUGUCAGAAUUACAGACUUGACACACAAUUUAUUUGCACUUGAAGUUGGUGAAUCUGAGUUUGUCCAGGAGAUGUUUUCAUGAGUGAGAUACACAAAGAAAAUAUUAAUCUCUAUAAAAAGUGUUUUGAAUUUUCUAGGCUGUAUAUUUAUAAGACUCAGAUUUUAGGAUGUUUUUGAGAUAAGAUGCAGAGAUUUCUAUUUACAUGGUAGAACCAUUAUGCUGUGUGCAGUUGAACUUUCCCCACAAAAUACACAUUAUCAUAAAAUAUUGUAACACCCUUAUUUAAUUGUGUCGUGCAUAAAUCUAUUUUUCGUGGUUUAGUAUUUAACAUCAUUUGAAAUACAAGACAUUUUCUAAAGUAUAAAUAUUUUUUCAAUCACAAAGGAUUGCCAAUACUCUUGUUUCUGCCAUUAUAGUCAGGUAUUCCACUGCAUCGUGACACCACUGAAGUGAGCUGCAAACAUGUGCAGUUGAAAAACUAAUGAUUGUUGUGGUUUACUACAGCAGAUGCAUGAUCAAUUACAUUAUGCAACAGCACAGUUUGUUUUGCUGCUUUUUAAAAUAAAUAAAUGAUCCGGUUUAGACAGGAAA